rnacentral:misc_RNA from 1 species
UGCUCUGCAACUCGGCGAGUGGCAGGCAAAAAUUUCGCGAAAUUGCAAUUUGCAACUUGGGCCAAACUUACUGGCCCACCGGAAAGAUGGCUAAGAAAAUGUACAAUGCUAUUCCCGCCGGCUUCGAGGACGACGAGGAUACACUGGAAGACUACAUGAUAAAUUUGAAAAUAAAGCGCUUGGAGAACAUCACAACAGGUGCUGGAAUUAAUGGAACAAACUUUGAUGCCACCCUGGACGCUGAAGCACAGGAGUUCUUUACGGUGUUUCGCCAUAAAUGGAAUAUGUACAGCAAGAACAAGUCGCCCCACCUGGGCCGGGACCUCGGCAAUGAACUGAAGGACCACAAGGAGCCGCUGCUGCUGGCCCUCAAGAUCUUUGCCAAUUGUCCCGACUGCAGCAACAUAAAGCCGAAAAGCCUGUCACACUUUGUGCUGGAUACAGUGUGCAAGCUGCACAUGGAUUAUCCGCAGCUUGUUUGUGAUCAGAACACCAGCAUGAUAGCGUUUAAUUUCGUUAAGACCUCGGGCGUGCUCUCACUCAACAAUGCCAUAAUCGAGACGUACCGCCUGCAUCAGAUACGCAAUCUGCUGCUGCCAAAGCUGCGCGAGAUGCUGGACUCUGGCCUGUACAAGGAGGUGGCUCAGUGGGCCAUCAGCUUGCAGGUGGCAAACGAAUUUGAUAUGCUGGAGCUGGCGUUUCCACUGAUUGCACAGGAGAAGCUGCCGCUGGUCGAAGAGUACCUGGAGCAAGCGACAGCACAACGUCAGCCGCUUGUUAAGUUUCUUGACUCGCUGCUGCACAAAGAUAAGUCGGUCUUUGAACUCUGCGAGCCCAUUCUGAACCGCUACAAGAACGUUAAGAUCUCGCAUAAUGUCCUGAGCUAUCGCCCCAUGUCGAAGAUGGUGGCGCGUCUGGCCAAGAAGUACGGCUUCGACGAAGGCGUCACGCCGAACUACAAGUUCACAAAAACCUGCGGCUACUUGCAUUAUCUGUUCCGCGAGUACGAGAAGUCGCGUAUAAAUCAGGCCAGCUUUCGGGAGAUGGUUAGCGUGCAUGCCUCCGAUUAUGCUCUCCAGGUGGACUUUGUCAAGUAUGUGGCGGGGGCACAAGAUUCACGCAACGAAGCUGUGUACUGGUACAAAGAGUUUAAGCUAAAUCCCAAGGAUUGUCCGCAAGACAUUCUAUCGCGGAUCUCACGCGGCAUCGACGAAGAAGAAGCGCCCCAAGCCCCUGAUGAUAAUGGGGCCACAUCUUCGGCCACCGGCUGUGAUAUGUACCUGACCAUGGAUUUGGCAGACGAUUGCCUCAUCACCGUGGACACGGCCACACAAUUCGACCUUAUGCUUGGCCAUCUGCAGCGCGAACAUAUCAUCUACAUGGACUCGGAGUGGGUGCAAAAUGUGUGCGGCGAGAGCCAGCUCUGUCUGCUGCAGAUUGCCACCGUGCGCAAUGUCUACCUGAUCGAUUGCCUGGCCAGGCAGAGCAUCACAGCGGAUCAUUGGCGUGCCCUCGGAGCGGAUGUAUUCAACAACAUGAACAUCCUGAAGGUGGGCUUCUCCAUGUACAGCGACUUGACGGUGUUGCAGCGCUCGCUCCCGCUGCAAUUGCGCUUACAGUUGUCACAUCAUUAUCUAGAUCUGCGCACUCUUUGGCUGGAGCUGAAGAAGCAACGCUAUGCCAUUAGGCUGCCAUUUGGUAAUGUGAAUCGUGCCGGGGAUGCCCUGUCGGAUCUGUCGCUGGUGUGCUUGGGCAAGAAGUUGAACAAGUCAAAUCAAUGCUCGAAUUGGGCCAAUCGUCCGCUGCGUCGCGACCAGAUAUUGUAUGCAGCCAUCGAUGCGCGUUGUCUGAUGCUUAUAUACAACACAUUGCUGAAUCGCGUGCCCAACAUCAGUACGGCGAUAGACAAGAGUAUUGCUAGCAACAAUUUCCUGAAACGCGGCGGCAAUGCCAAUGUCAAGUGAUGCGAUUUGGAUACGGAUACCUCUCAGCCCUUGUCUGGUGAUUCUCCUUGAAGCAAUAUAAUGCCACCAAAAACACACACAAAGGCAUGUUUGUUUCCCCUUACCCCUACCCUCUUAAUCUCUUUACGAAAAUCGGAAAAUCAAAAGUAGCAACCCCUGAAGGACGGAAUAUUAUUAAUCUAAUUUUUUCUGUUUUUGUAAAUACUUUGUAAUCUCAAUUCUCAUUCCUUUUCUAAUAAUUUGAAUUCUUUUUUACUUUUUCCUGUUAUACGAAAACGAAUUUUUUAUUGUAUUUUACAUAAAAAUAUAAUCAAAAAAGUGAAUACAUAAUACAUUGAAUAAAACUGAAUAAUAAGCAGAGGUUCCUAGUUUCCAGGCUUCAGCAAACUAA